AAAACAGAAACAGACCCCUCGCCACAGAGCAGCUGAAAAAGAGUGGAAGGGGGUGCCGUAGGUGUAGUAGCCUCCAGAUUGGGGAGCCAGGCCAAUCAGGGUAGGGUGGGGCGUUGAAAUUGUCAAGGUUCUGUCCAGAAUCAGAGACUUUAGGGAUCCUUCAUGUUGCUGAGUAAGGUGAACCAUGGAACCCAGGAAAGAAAUGCAAAAUUCAGUGGCUGCCAUUAGUUAAAAUAACCAGCAAUUACAUAAUUGAGUGAUGAAGUCACUGGUGCUUAUGUCAAAAUACAAAUAUUAGCAAUUAAUGAUUCAUCAUUGUUGGAAUGCUAUGUGAUAGUAAGGACUGAAUCAUAGAGGGAUGUGUUCCGUAACACUCUCCUUCCUGGUGUGAGAUGCCCUCUCCAUCCCCCGGAUCUAACACUCUGCUUCCUGGUGUGAGAUCCCUCUCUGUCCCCCAGAUCUAACACGCUGCUUCCUGGUGUGAGAUGCCCUUUCCAUCCCCCGGAUCUAACACUCUCCUUCCUUGUGUGAGAUCCCUCUCCUUCCCCUGGAUCUAACACUCUGCUUCCUGGUGUGAGAUGCCCUCUCCGUCCCCCGGAUCUAACACUCUCCGUCCCCCGGAUCUAACACUCUCCGUCCCCCGGAUCUAACACUCUCCUUCCUGGUGUGAGAUGCUCUUUCCGUCCCCCGGAUCUAACACUCUCCUUCCUGGUGUGAGAUGCUCUUUCCGUCCCCCGGAUCUAACUCUCUCCUUCCUGGUGUGAGAUGCUCUUUCCGUCCCCCGGAUCUAACACUCUCCUUCCUGGUGUGAGAUGCUCUUUCCGUCCCCCAGAUCUAACUCUCUCCUUCCUGGUGUGACUCCCUCUCUGUCCCCCGGAUCUAAUGCUCUCCUUCCUGGUGUGAGAUGCCUUCACCAUCUCCCAGAUGUAAGAGUCUUAUUCUUGGCUCCUGCGGGCCAACAUCCCCGUUAUCCAGUUCUGUAUCACCACUGUGUCCCUCAACAGCCUGAUCUAGGUGUCUGCUGGCCUCACCGGGUCCAUCUUCUGCACUAACCCAAUGGAGGACCACUGGAUGAAGGUGGUGCAGAUCUUCAUCAUGCAGCAUCUCCCCCCCAGUCCGCACAGCUGCUGGCUCUUCCUCUUCCAAGCCGCAGUUGUGCCGGUCUCCUGGCAGCUUCCACUUUCGGUCCAAACCAGCUGAACUUGCUCACUGACAGGCAGGAAUGUGAGGCGGGAGGAUUCUGGAUCUGCUGCCACGUGAACACCCCUCCCCCAAGCCGCAAUUCUGUACAGUAUCCACGGAAAAGCUGACAUCAUCCGGAAAGACUCGCUGCUGCUCCUGCCCCCCAGUCAAGAAAAGACCCAGCCACCCAAAAUCCCUCAGGACAUACCAUGGUAAAUGGGUCACACAGGAGGCUGGAUGGAUGCGAUGCAAACUGUCCUUGUGUGGAACACACAUCAUACCUACUAAUCCAUAGUACUGCGGAAAAUCGUUAGCAGAAAGUGAGGUUUAAAUGAACUUUUUGGUGUAAAACCGUUACCCUGGUAUUUGCAGCGACCAUCUGAUAUACCCAUGUCUUUUUUGACUCAUUUAACUAAUUAAGUUCAUUAUUUGAGCUGGUUUUGAAGUUUAACAUGGAAUGGCUGGGGUGCCCCUGAGGAGAGGUUUGGGAACCCAAGCGGUGUUCAUCUAGCCAUCCAACAAAAUAUCUGUAACUUUUUGGAUAACAGAAGAAAUACUUGUUAGCUUUUGUUGUAUUACUCUUAUUCUACAUGUGUUCUAAUGUUAAAUUGUGUUUUUUUUCUGAGCUAAUAUGCACUUACUACCCAGAUAAAUAGCUUUAACCACAACAGGUGGCUGCCCUUUGCAGCCAGCUUACUCUGCA